rnacentral:sRNA from 1 species
AGUGAGGAUAAUGGAUUAUCAGAACUUAUUAACAUUAGUGUCACUAAAGUUGGUAUUCAACCCCCCACUGCUAAAUUUGACUGGCUUUAG